GAGGUCAAUACCAGCCUAUGCCCCCUAUGUCUGGAAUUUUAGCACAGGGGGAGAUGAGACAAGGAAAUAUGUUGUGAGCUCACUGUGGCAACGAGCCCAAAAUCUGCCCCCAGUGCCAUGGCCAGAAGCACAGAUCUUAAACACAUUACUGACCUUACAGCUCACGCACUGACUGCCCAUUGUAAGUCAACCCCCACCCAUCCUUUUAUUAUUGCUCUAUAUUCACC